UUUGCAGAUUGGUUAUUUCUCAGAGGUUAUUGGGGGUCAUUAUUGUAAAUCUCAUUACCUUGCUUGAAGGAGAAGGUCUCUUUCAUUAUUGCGGUGCUGAGGUCCAUAUCCCCGAAGCUAAUUGCAAGGUUUGAUAAAAUAGUUCCCUUUUCAGUUGCUGCUCCAACCUCUCCUGUAAGUUGCUGCCAUUGAAUUGCAAAUGUUCUGCAGCACCUUCUAAACUGCUGGAGUCAUCAACUAAAAG